UACAGAGGGGGCAAGCGUUGUUCGGAAUUACUGGGCGUAAAGGGCGCGUAGGCGGCCUGUUAAGUCAGACGUGAAAUCCCUCGGCUCAACCGGGGAACUGCGUCUGAUACUGGCGGGCUUGAAUUCGGGAGAGGGAUGUGGAAUUCCCAGUGUAGAGGUGAAAUUCGUAGAUAUAGGAAGGAACACCAGUGGCGAAGGCGACCACCUGGACUGAUACUGACACUGAGGUGCGAAAGCGUGGGGAGCAAACAGG
rnacentral:rRNA from 1 species